ACUUUAAUUGAAGAGUUUGAUCAUGGCUCAGAUUGAACGCUGGCGGCAGGCCUAACACAUGCAAGUCGAGCGGUAACAGAAAGUAGCUUGCUACUUUGCUGACGAGCGGCGGACGGGUGAGUAAUGCCUAGGGAUCUGCCCAGUCGAGGGGGAUAAC
rnacentral:rRNA from 1 species